AGACUUUGAUCAUGGCUCAGGAUGAACGCUAGCUACAGGCUUAACACAUGCAAGUCGAGGGGCAGCAUUCGCGUAGCAAUACGUGAGAUGGCGACCGGCGCACGGGUGAGUAACACGUAUCCAACCUGCCGAACAUUCGGGGAUAGCCUUUCGAAAGAAAGAUUAAUACCCGAUGGCAUGCGCUGACCGCAUGGUUUGCGCGUUAAAGAAUUUCGAUGUUCGAUGGGGAUGCGUUCCAUUAGGCAGUUGGCGGGGUAACGGCCCACCAAACCGACGAUGGAUAGGGGUUCUGAGAGGAAGGUCCCCCACAUUGGAACUGAGACACGGUCCAAACUCCUACGGGAGGCAGCAGUGAGGAAUAUUGGUCAAUGGGCGCGAGCCUGAACCAGCCAAGUAGCGUGAAGGAUGACUGCCCUAUGGGUUGUAAACUUCUUUUAUAGGGGAAUAAAGUUGGCCGCGUGUGGCCUUUUGUAUGUACCUUAUGAAUAAGGAUCGGCUAACUCCGUGCCAGCAGCCGCGGUAAUACGGAGGAUCCGAGCGUUAUCCGGAUUUAUUGGGUUUAAAGA
rnacentral:rRNA from 1 species